rnacentral:rRNA from 1 species
UACAGAGACCUCGAGCGUUUUCCGGAAUCAUUGGGCGUAAAGCGUCCGCAAGUGGCUAUACAAGUCGAGCUUGAAAUCCGGUGGCUUAACCACCGACACGGGUUCGAUACUGUAUGGCUAGAGGAUUGGAGAGGCUGAUGGAACUCCCGGUGUAGCAGUGAAAUGCGUUAAUAUCGGGAAGAACACCAAUUGCGAAGGCAGUCAGCUAUUCAAUUUCUGACACGCAGGGACGAAAGCGUGGGGAGCGAAC